UACGAAGGGGGCUAGCGUUGCUCGGAAUUACUGGGCGUAAAGCGCACGUAGGCGGUCUUUUAAGUCGGUGGUGAAAUCCUGGAGCUCAACUCCAGAACUGCCUUCGAUACUGGAAGACUUGAGUCCGGGAGAGGUGAGUGGAACUGCGAGUGUAGAGGUGAAAUUCGUAGAUAUUCGCAAGAACACCAGUGGCGACGGCGGCUCACUGGCCCGGUACUGACGCUGAGGUGCGAAGGCGUGGGGAGCAAACAGG
rnacentral:rRNA from 1 species